rnacentral:rRNA from 1 species
CCCCUAGAUGUUCUGGGCCGCACGCGCGCUACACUGAACAGUUCAACAAGUCUUAACCUUGGCCGAUAGGUCUGGGUAAUCUUUGAACGCUGUUCGUGACUGGGAUAGACCUUUGCAAUUAUGGGUCUUCAACGAGGAAUUCCUAGUAAACGCAAGUCAUCAGCUUGCAUUGAUUACGUCCCUGCCCUUUGUACACACCGCCCGUCGCACCUACCGAUUGAAUGGUCCGGUGAAAUCUCGGGACGGCGGCUUGGUCGCUUGCGUCCGACUGCUGAAACUUGAUUAAACCAUAUCAUUUAGAGGAAGGUGAAGUCGUAAC